CUCGAUUACAAGAGAACCAAAAUGGUUUGUAGUACAUAUUAGGUAUUGGUUAUUUCAUACAUUACAUAUAUACAUAUAUAUAUACAAUACAUAAAAUCAAGUCAAUUAGUUUUCUAGAUAAUGUACCAUAACAUUGGAAAUUGUUUUACAAGAGUCCUUAUUGAUGUCCCACAUUCCACCAAUCAAAUUAAAAUUACACAAUAAUUCCAACUCGACUGGAAUGGAUUUGACUAGACCCAAAUUCCCUCAACAUUGAAUGGACUUGACUCGUUGACUGAAUGAAUCGUUCCCCAAGGUGAUUCUAUUUAAACCUAUGCGUUACCUUCUAGAUGAGUAGCGAUCGAGGUAUUUCUGGAGUACAUACUAGAACACCCAAAGACGUCGUACCGGGGGGGUGUAUGGGUUUAUUUCGUAACAAUAUUCUUGUUGAAGAAAUUUGCGUUCAACUGACUCAAGUUGCUGUACACAGAUCGAAUAAAUAGGGUACCACAUCACCGCUGCAUAUUCAAUUUUUUAUCGAACCAACGAGUGAUUUAAAGUUAAUAACUGUUUGAAAAUUCCCAGUUCUGUCCAAAAGUUUCUCCUCUGGUAUGGUAGACAUACUGAGUUACCGUGCUCUUUUGCUUUAUUCCUAAUUUCUCAACCCUGCUCCUGAAGAUGUCACUUACAAAAGUGUGCGAAACCUUGAGCCCAAAAACUCAAUUAACACGGUCCCAACCCGGAAAACGAUCAUAUAAUAUAUAAACAUUAUUUGAAUAUUUAUUUUUCUGUUUAUUUUUAAUUUCAUAUAAUUUUACUGUUUUGUCUUGUUCAUGCUGUUUUGAACUAAUGACAAUAUGGAUCAUGUCCAGGAUAAUCAACUAGGGAGGGAGAAGAAUUCUGGCCUGAGGUCUUCAGCAGUCAAGAAGUGCUGUGGCGAUUGUGGGUAUUUUUUUUAGAAGUGAGAAGUGAGUAGUAGUUCGACCGUUCGACUACCGUAAGUACCUUUUGGGUCGCCUGCCUGUUUUGUACCGGUCUUGGAAUCGCCGCCCCCGGGCGAGAAACCGUGUCACCGCCACCGCGUUUUUUUUGACACCGUCUUCGCGCGAUUUCCAGAUCUCAAGGUCGCCGCCUCCAGAGCCAGGAGGAGCCCGUCUUGAGGGAAGUCGCCGCCCAGGAGGAACGACCGUGCCAGACAUUUAAUUUAAUUUUGUUUGUAAAACCGUUUUGUUAGAUAUUUAAGCUGUUUAGCCGUAAGUUUUAUUAUUUUUGUUAUAAAAUAUCCUUGCCGUUUUA